CACAAGCGGUGGAGCAUGUGGUUUAAUCGAAGCAACGCGAAGAACCUUACCAGGCCUUGACAUGCAGAGAACUUUCCAGAGAUGGAUUGGUGCCUUCGGGAACUCUGACACAGGUGCUGCAUGGCUGUCGUCAGCUCGUGUCGUGAGAUGUUGGGUUAAGUCCCGUAACGAGCGCAACCCUUGUCCUUAGUUACCAGCACGUUAUGGUGGGCACUCUAAGGAGACUGCCGGUGACAAACCGGAGGAAGGCGGGGAUGACGUCAAGUCAUCAUGGCCCUUACGGCCUGGGCUACACACGUGCUACAAUGGUCGGUACAAAGGGUUGCCAAGCCGCGAGGUGGAGCUAAUCCCAUAAAACCGAUCGUAGUCCGGAUCGCAGUCUGCAACUCGACUGCGUGAAGUCAGAAUCGCUAGUAAUCGUGAAUCAGAAUGUCACGGUGAAUACGUUCCCGGGCCUU
rnacentral:rRNA from 1 species